AACCUAUGGUGAGGGCACCGUCUCAAUAAGUCAUUAUACCUCUCACAUGCAUCAUAUAAGGUCUCUAAGUCAAACUGAAUGAAGGAAGAGAUAUCAUUCCUUAACUU
rfam:Gossypium raimondii Chr04_contig_177, whole genome shotgun sequence.